UACGUAGGGGGCAAGCGUUAUCCGGAUUUACUGGGUGUAAAGGGAGCGUAGGCGGCUUAGUAAGUCAGAAGUGAAAACCCAGGGCUCAACCUUGGGACUGCUUUUGAAACUGAGUAGCUAGAGUGCAGGAGAGGUAAGCGGAAUUCCUAGUGUAGCGGUGAAAUGCGUAGAUAUUAGGAGGAACACCAGUGGCGAAGGCGGCUUACUGGACUGUUACUGACGCUGAGGCACGAAAGCGUGGGGAGCAAAUAGG
rnacentral:rRNA from 1 species